AACGAACGCUGGCGGCGUGCCUAACACAUGCAAGUCGUGCGAGAAAGUUCCUUCGGGAGCGAGUAAAGCGGCGCACGGGUGAGUAACACGUAGGUAACCUGCCCCCCAGUCUGGAACAACUAGAGGAAACUCUAGCUAAUGCCGGAUGAGACCACGAUCCCUUCGGGGGUUGCGGCCAAAGAUGGCCUCUACUUGUAAGCUAUCGCUGAGGGAUGGGCCUGCGGGCCAUUAGCUUGUUGGUGAGGUAACGGCUCACCAAGGCUGUGAUGGCUAGCUGGUCUGAGAGGAUGACCAGCCACACUGGGACUGAGACACGGCCCAGACUCCUACGGGAGGCAGCAGUGGGGAAUAUUGCGCAAUGGGCGAAAGCCUGACGCAGCGACGCCGCGUGGGUGAUGAAGGC
rnacentral:rRNA from 1 species